rnacentral:lncRNA from 1 species
AAUUCUUGUGAUUAACAGGACUAUAAUGUACAUGGGCAAGAGUAUUCCAGUGGAUUUUAUAAUAAGCAGCUGCAAGCAGAAAGGACAAAUAAGGUUGGUAAGAACUACUUAUUACAGUUAAAUUGGUACCAAAUUACCAUUUUAUUAUUCAACAUCACAAUCAGAUAAGUUGGUACACUUACUGUAGGAAGUGUAAAGGGAUAGUUUCUUGGUCCUCCAUUGAGCACCUCUAGCAGAUGUCUCAUCAUAAGCAGAAUUGUGAACUGCAAAAUUAAAUUAAUACCAUAAUGUUAAAUUGACACCACAUUAAGUGACAACCCCCCAACAAAAAAGCAAAAAGGAAAAAUCUACGGAUAUUAAUAAAUACCAUAUUAAUGAUCAAUUAAAGAUAAUGAAGUUAAUUAAUGUCCACACAGGAUCACGAACUAGUGCAUAAUGCAUAUGUCAUGUGAAAAUAACCGAAACUGGACUAUUUCCGGUUCAUGUUUUUGGGGGCAAAUCGCAAGAAGAAAGUUAAAUAAUUAGUAACUUAAAUGUUGGUUUCCAUAAUAAAAUAGUACUUAUGAAGCAGCAUUGAAGCACAUGUGUUUUUGGGCUGUCAUUAACUAUGUUUGAUUAUUACGUUUCCAAAGAGACAAUUUAAUGGUUAAGAUGUCACAAUUCGAAUGGUAAGUACAAUUACAAGCGUAAAUUUCUCAUCUUGACCAUUAAUGUUGAGUUGGACGUUGUCUAUUUCGUUGUUAACUAGUACUUAUAUAACAUACAAAAGCAAUGACGCAAAACUCAAGCAUUAAUUUGAAAAAAGGAAAAAAAUUCAAGUGCUUACAAUGAGAGCAACAGUUCGACAACAAGAGGCACUUCUA